CCAGGAUGCAUUCUUGGCAGUUUUUUUGCUGUUAUCUAGUCAGUUAAUGAUAGCAUUGCGACAGAAGGGGUUCAAAAGAGGUGACAAGAGGACGGUGAUCAGAGCCUUCAAACCAGAGAUAUUCACUUCUUCCCAAGGGCUAAGCCAAUAUCCAAUCACUAUUUGACAUUACUUUGUCCAAUCUACACCUUAUUGUAUGGGUAUAUCUUUGACCUCUCCAUGACAGGAAGUUCCUAGUGUAUUUUAGAUCGAAGAGAUCACAUGACGACAUAGAGGACCUUAGGUCUGAGAAGGAGCUUUUCGCUCUAGGGGGGCCUCCAAUUUUCUCAUCUUUGUGGAUAAUGUCAUUAAAGUAACCCAUUAGGAGCCAGGGAGAGGACCUAGAAGCCGAGAAGCUUUUGAUUUGGUCCCAUAUUGCAGCUAUUUUUGCUCUUUUCGGUUUCCCAUAGACAAAGAUAGAGAGGAAGACUUUUCAUUUAAACUUAUUUCUGAUAUCGAUGUAUUGGGUGCAUGAGCUUAAUACCUCAACUUCCAAA